CAUGCAAGUCGAGCGGGGUGAUGUAGCUUGCUACGUUACCUAGCGGCGGACGGGUGAGUAAUGCUUAGGAAUCUGCCUAUUAGUGGGGGACAACAUUCCGAAAGGAAUGCUAAUACCGCAUACGCCCUACGGGGGAAAGCAGGGGAUCUUCGGACCUUGCGCUAAUAGAUGAGCCUAAGUCAGAUUAGCUAGUUGGUGGGGUAAAGGCCUACCAAGGCGACGAUCUGUAGCGGGUCUGAGAGGAUGAUCCGCCACACUGGGACUGAGACACGGCCCAGACUCCUACGGGAGGCAGCAGUGGGGAAUAUUGGACAAUGGGCGAAAGCCUGAUCCAGCCAUGCCGCGUGUGUGAAGAAGGCCUUUUGGUUGUAAAGCACUUUAAGCGAGGAGGAGGCUACUUAGAUUAAUACUCUAGGAUAGUGGACGUUACUCGCAGAAUAAGCACCGGCUAACUCUGUGCCAGCAGCCGCGGUAAUACAGAGGGUGCGAGCGUUAAUCGGAUUUACU
rnacentral:rRNA from 1 species